UACGAAGGGGGCUAGCGUUGCUCGGAAUCACUGGGCGUAAAGGGUGCGUAGGCGGGUCUUUUAAGUCAGGGGUGAAAUCCUGGAGCUCAACUCCAGAACUGCCUUUGAUACUGAGGAUCUUGAGUUCGGGAGAGGUGAGUGGAACUGCGAGUGUAGCGGUGAAAUGCGUAGAUAUUGGGAGGAACACCAGUGGCGAAGGCGGCUCACUGGUCCGGUACUGACGCUGAGGUGCGAAAGCGUGGGGAGCAAACAGGG
rnacentral:rRNA from 1 species